UACGUAGGGGGCUAGCGUUGUCCGGAAUCAUUGGGCGUAAAGCGCGCGUAGGCGGCCAGAUAAGUCCGGUGUGAAAGUCACAGGCUCAACCUGUGAAUGCCGCUGGAAACUGUCUGGCUAGAGUCCGGAAGGGGCGAGUGGAAUUCCUGGUGUAGCGGUGAAAUGCGCAGAUAUCAGGAGGAACACCGAUGGCGAAGGCAGGUCUCUGGGCCGAUACUGACGCUGAGGAGCGAAAGCGUGGGGAGCGAACAGG
rnacentral:rRNA from 1 species